rnacentral:misc_RNA from 1 species
CAGCAACAGGCAAUUCUUCAAGUGACAAUUUCCCUUCAAAACGUGGAAAUUUUGGAGAUCUGGUUGUGCCACACAGCACAAGAACUUCAUCAGAGAAAAUAAUUUCAGCUAAUACCGAAGAAGUAGAUCAACAGAGUUGCAUCCUGGAGAAGGCAAUGCACAUGGAGGCAUGCGCUCAACCAACAACACAGAUUUUGCCUGUCCAAUCUUUUGAUGGGAAUGAUUCAACUCAAGACACUGAAUCAGAUAUUCUAGCCAGUCCCCUGGCUACAAAAGUAAAUACAAAAUCUGUUGCAGAGGAUAAUGUUAGUGACACUGACAGAAUGAUAACAGUUGUUGGGAUUAAUCGCGAGAGCUUACAGUUGAAUUCAGCUCCACCAUACUUUAAUGGACUAGAGAUUGCCCGAAAUAAAAGUGUAAAGACAGAUAGUGAAGCCCAAACUGGAAAUUUGGUAGGGACUGAGCCAUUGCCGGAUGAUCGAGAUAUUGAAGCUUCAUCCACUUCAGGUCUUUUACAGACAAGACCACAUGGUUUCAAUGCCAGUGACGAUAUCCAGAUGUCAGCUUCAAAACUUUUGGUUCCAACAAGGAGUGAACAUGUAGUCAAUAAUGUGACACCAAUAAAGGAGAAAAAAUUAGAAGUUGUCCGUUCAAAGUUUUUUAAGAGAUCCAAGGAAGUGGAAACUAAGAUUGGUCAGCCACCAUCAACUACUGUGGAAGGUUCCUCAUUUGGGAGCAAAGCAAUUGAUGCCAAUUGUCCUGCUAAUGGGAAAAGGGAGGGCUUCAAUGCUAUCAAUGCACAAACCCAGAGAAAAUUGAUUGGUGAUUCAAAGUCAUUUUCCAUGGAAAUGACUAAAGAACCUGCUUUGCUGGGAAGUGAAAAGAAUGUUAAAAACCCAUGUAAUACCAGGGAGGGCUUAAAUGGUGAUGCCAAACAAAAUGUCUACAAGCUGGUUACUAAUCCAAAGCCUCCUGAUAAAGAAGUAACAAAGAAGGACUCUAUUGUGCCAGGAAGUGGAAUGAACAUCAAAGAUCUUAGUAAUUUUGGGGCAAACAAGUCUAGUACCCAGACAAGUGCAAAUUCUACAGCUGUGGUUUCAUGCAUGGGAUCAACUUGGAACUCGAAGAUGAUUUCUGUUGAAGGGCUUAAAGCUGGGAAGAGAACACCUGAUCUUUCUGGCUUGAAGAUUUCAAGGACUUUGGGAGUGAGCAAAGAUCAGUCAAAUGCCUUACUUAAAAGGGAAAUAAAUUCCUUGAGAAACUCAGAGAAAAACAUGGAAGUACAAGGAUUUACAGCAUCAAAGAUUGUCCAUCCUAUUGUCAAUGCUGAGAAAAAAACUCUGCUGAAUGCAUCUUUGAAACGAAAAACAGUUGAGGCAUCAAAUGUUGAUAUAUUGCCCUUGAAUCCACAAAAACGUCUUUCUCAUUCACCAAAUGAAACCAGAAAUGUGAAGGAACCUUUGGAAAUCACUGUUGAAGAACAGGGCUGCAAUCAUGACAAUCAGGCAGAAAGUGAGGCAAAUAACGCUCUUUAUGACCACCCAACCUCCAAACUUGAAAUUCCUCAACAGGAAACUACAAAAGAACAAGACAUUCCUUUGGCUAUGGAAGAUGACAGAAAUGUUGAAAAGGCUGAAGCAUAUGCAAAAGAACUUGAGGAUAUUGUCAACAUGCUGAAGAAGAAAUAUGACGAAGCUAAAGAAAUACUGGUUCGAGCUAUUGUGAACAAUAACAGUUUACUGAUGCUUAACCAUCCCAUGUUUGAUGAGAAGAUUCGAAUGGUUCAGAAACUUGCUGCGCAGUUGAUGUCUAAUUAGCUUCAGAUUGAAACGGUGGGAACAAUGAAAGGUACUCCUCUCUUUCCUCCUCUUCUACAUGCAUUUAGAACUUAGCUAGCUAUUUGAUAAUAUAAUGACAUGCAAAUGUCAGGGACAGAAGAUUUUCUCUUUCGUGCUGCUGAUUGAACUAUAGGAAUCUGUUUUCCUAAGCAGUUGAGAUAUUCAAUUGAAACCUCCAAAUGUGAUGUUUUGCUGGUUAAAUUGGCUAGUUGCAGCUUUACUCCUACAUAUUCUUUGGGUAUGUUUACCCUAAGCCUAAUAUAGCGGCUCAUACCUUAAUCUGAUGAGAUGGUCUUUGGUGAUUUGAAUUUUAAUUACUGGACCAGUUGAAACUAUGUAAGAUACCAUGGAUGGAUGAAUAUGGCCAAUAUACUUCCCAUUGAUUAGACUAGCCAUGAUGUACAAAAUCUAAACCCAGGUUU